rnacentral:rRNA from 1 species
CCUGAUGCAGCAACGCCGCGUGAGGGAUGACGGCCUUCGGGUUGUAAACCUCUUUUAGUAGGGAAGAAGGGCUUCGGCUUGACGGUACCUGCAGAAAAAGCACCGGCUAACUACGUGCCAGCAGCCGCGGUAAUACUUACGGUGCUAGCGUUGUCCGGAAUUAUUGGGCGUAAAGAGCUCGUAUGCGGUUUGUCACGUCUGCUGUGAAAUCCCGAGGCUCAACCUCGGGCCUGCAGUGGGUACGGGCAGACUGGAGUGCGGUAGGGGAGAUUGGAAUUCCUGGUGUAGCGGUGGAAUGCGCAGAUAUCAGGAGGAACACCGAUGGCGAAGGCAGAUCUCUGGGCCGUAACUGACGCUAAGGAGCGAAAGCGUGGGGAGCGAACAGGAUUAGAUACCCUGGUAGUCCACGCCGUAUGCUUUGGGCGCUAGAUGUGGGGACCAUUCCACGGUUUCCGUGUCGUAACUAACGCAUUAGGCGCCCCGCCUGGGGAGUACGGCCGCAAGGCUAAAACUCAGAGGAAUUGACGGGGGCCCGCACAAGCGGCGGAGCAUGCGGAUUAAUUCGAUGCAACACCAAGAACCUUACCAAGGCUUGACAUAUACAAAAACGCCUCACAAAUGUGGAACUCU